AACGAACGCUGGCGGCGCGCCUAAUACAUGCAAGUCGAGCGAGAAGACGUAGCAAUACGUUUGUAAAGCGGCGAACGGGUGAGGAAUACAUGGGUAACCUACCCUCGAGUGGGGAAUAACUAGCCGAAAGGUUAGCUAAUACCGCGUACGCUCCUUGGACUUCGGUUCAGGGAGGAAAGCGAUACCGUGGGUACCGCGCUCUUGGAUGGGCUCAUGUCCUAUCAGCUUGUUGGUGAGGAACGGCUCACCAAGGCUUCGACGGGUAGCUGGUCUGAGAGGACGAUCAGCCACACUGGCACUGCGACACGGGCCAGACUCCUACGGGAGGCAGCAGUAAGGAAUAUUGCGCAAUGGGCGAAAGCCUGACGCAGCGACGCCGCGUGGGGGAUGAAGGUCUUCGGAUUGUAAACCCCUUUCGGGAGGGAAGAU
rnacentral:rRNA from 1 species